rnacentral:rRNA from 1 species
UACGUAGGGGGCAAGCGUUGUCCGGAAUCAUUGGGCGUAAAGAGCGUGUAGGCGGCCAUGUAGGUCCGGGGUGAAAGCCCCCAGCUCAACUGGGGAAGUGCCUUGGAAACUGCUUGUCUCGAGGGAGGUAGGGGCCUGUGGAACUUCGGGUGGAGCGGUGAAAUGCGUUGAUAUCCGAAGGAACGCCGGUGGCGAAAGCGACGGGCUGGACCGCUUCUGACGCUGAGGCGCGAAAGCCAGGGGAGCAAACGGG